rnacentral:rRNA from 1 species
UACGUAGGGGGCUAGCGUUGUCCGGAAUCAUUGGGCGUAAAGAGCGUGUAGGCGGCCCGGUAAGUCCGCUGUGAAAGUCGGGGGCUCAACCCUCGAAUGCCGGUGGAUACUGUCGGGCUAGAGUGCGGAAGAGGCGAGUGGAAUUCCUGGUGUAGCGGUGAAAUGCGCAGAUAUCAGGAGGAACACCGAUGGCGAAGGCAGGUCACUGGGCCGCAACUGACGCUGAGGAGCGAAAGCAUGGGGAGCGAACAGG